AGGAUGCUAUGAAUGAAGAAAUUAAGGCCAUCGAACACAAUGAUACUUGGGAACUAGAAAAGUUACCAAAAGGAAGUCAAACAAUUGGUGUGAGGUGGGUGUUCAAGAAAAAGAUAAAUGCACAAGGUGAAAUUGAAAGAUACAAGGCGCAACUUGUGGCGAAAGGAUACAAGCAAAAAUCAGGAAUCGACUAUGAUGAAGUAUUUGCACCUGUUGCAAGAAUGGAGACAAUUCGAUUGCUCAUAUCUCAAGAUGCUCAAUAA